rnacentral:lncRNA from 1 species
CAACUAGCCAACUUUUCUUUUUUUGGUAAAAACUGUAAUUUUUUUGCACAAACAUAAGCAAAAGAUUAUUUUUUAGUGAGGAAAUGGGAAGUGAAAAGCUGGACUGCCUAAAAACAGAAACAUGUAUACGCAUAGUGCUAAACGGAUCGGUGGGAAGUUAUCCAGGAGUAACGACGGCGGAGAUUCCUGCAUCUGCCAUGGAUUUCGUGUGUGACUGGGGAUUUGUUCCAAAGAAGGUAUA